rnacentral:lncRNA from 1 species
UCAUCUAUCCCAGCAGGCUCAGCCACCAGGCUAGAACAUUCUGUGGCAGGCAGUUCCCCACAUGCCCCUAAUCAAUCACAUUCCCCACUCUCUCCCCAUCAGUAACUAUGAUCCUAAAUUUUAUGUUAUCGUUCCCUUGAUGUUUGUUAUAGAUUUUACCCUCUAUUCCAGAUAGCUAUUGCUGUUUAACAAACCACCCCAAAGCUUAGUGGGGUAAAACAAUAGCAAUUUUUUCCUCACAAAUCUGCAAUUUGGGCAGGAUUCUGUAGAGAAAACUCGUCUCUGCUUCACCCGCCAUCAGCUGAGGCAGCUCAGCUGAGGGUUUUGGGACCUACUCCUCAAGGUGACUCACUCACUGGCUGCCUGUGGGAGCUGGGCCGUGGCCUGUGGGCCUCGCUCCUUGUCCACGUGGCCUCGCCCUGUGCCUGGGCUUCCUCGCAACGCGGUGGCUGAGUUCCAAGGUGAGCAUCCCAAGAGAGAAAACCAGGUGGACGCUCUAUCGCCUUUGGUGACCUAGCCCCGGAAGUCACGUAGUGUCUAUUAGUUGAAGCAGUGACAGAGGCCCACCUGGGCUCGACAGAAGGGACAUUGACUCCACCUCUUCCUGGGGGUAUGGCAAGGUCUGGAAGAGUAGGUGGCACCACGAAUAUCGUUGCAGCCAUUUUUGGGAAAUACGUCUACCACACCACCUAUGUAAGCCUGUCCUGUCCUGAGGUUCUCGCUGCCUCCCAGGCCUGGCAGCCUGUUGGAGUCUCCUCCCUUCCAGCUGGUGAGACCUGGCAUUCCUCUUGCUGACCCCAGAGGUGGCUGUCUCUCCACAUCUUCUCCCGUGAU